rnacentral:sRNA from 1 species
GUUAAAAUGAACGGCCGUGGCUUUAAAAC